UACCCCCGCAGCAGAAGCAGGGACCACUGCCACUGUCGCGCCCCCGCCGAACCCCCCACAUAGGCGCCGCCACAAUUGCUAACAUGCUAACAUCCCCUACUCACCCUCUCCCCCAUGUGUAACCAAGGGCACUAACAUGAGUAAGCGUUAGCAUCGUGCUAGCACGCGAAGGGCCGGUGGGACUGGAUGGGACAAAGCCGUGGCUGGUUGGGCUUAUAGAGCGGUUGGACUGUGCGUGGUGGAGGCUGCUUGGGAGAGUAGGGGAGGGGAUAUCUGUUCGAAGAUGGGGACUGUAAGACAGAGCUGUUCCCCAUAUGAAGGUGUAUAUGGGUUGCGUUUACCCGAUAACCGGUGCCCCCGUGCGGUACCUCACUGACACACACUGAAUGUAUUUCAAGGAGAAGAAGAGGGGGAUUGGCUACAGGCAUAGCUCUGCCUUCCCCCUCUCUCUGUCACGAGAAAAGAAAAGCCCAUUCUAUGUACAUUUACACUUAUAUACAUUAGUAUUUAUUUACUGAAGGAUAUUUUCAGUAGCCUAUACAUUUGUAAAAUUAUAUUUUAUAGAGAUUUGAUAAAAAGAGGGAUGGGGAAAUGUGUAUCAUUAUUUGAACAAAUCAACUCGGUGGGAAGUGGCACAAAUCAUUAUCAAACCGCCCUCCUCCCUCCAUCUUUCAAAUGAUAUGAAUCCAAUGAAAUCAAAGUGCCUUUAGUUCCCGGUGAAUAAUCAUUCCUCUUCUCACAAGAUUCACCUUCAGCCUCACCUUUUUUCCACCCUGUUUGUCUUAUGGUGUGCUAUGGCUACCACAGAAUCCCAUUCAAAUGAGCCUUCAGAUAGUUGUCUUACGUCUGUUUGAGGUUUGUUGUGCGUGCCAACGUAGGAGAGUCCUUACGAAGACUAAUUUAACCAUCUAAUAUAUUAUCUAACACACAAUCUUAACCAGAUUGCUGUGAGAUCAUCAAUACCCUCAAACUCCUUGCUACAUUUGCCAUCAACCCUUGUGCUCCUACUAACAUUUGGCAACACGUAGUUCAACCCCUGCUGGUUACUAAAUUUCAUUUUGUAACGCUUCACCAUAAUAGCCAAGAGAUUUUAGGCUCCCUCUUUUUUGGGGGGCAUUUGAAUCAUUUCUUCCCCACCAUGACACACGAAACAGUCGCUUAUUCACAGCAUUUAGUUUUGAGUUUCUGCUACAUCGACAUUAUCACAGCCUUUUAUCACAAAGACUUUUGUACUUAACCGUGGUUGACCGCUACAAUGGCGUACUUCUACGGUCAAGGUCAUAGUGAGAGAGUAUUAAACCUAUUUGAUCUGCUUCACUGCAAAUGAAAAUGGCUGCCGACAGCUUACCGUCAAGGCAGGUGUAAAUUCCACCAUGUUGCUUUUCCCCGUCCCAAUUGAUUGAUAGAUUUUUUUUUUUUUUUGCAGCGAGGAUGUACAGAUAAUUGCACAGAGAAAGGAAGUCACUAGAGACACUAGCGAAUGCUAAAUUAUACUGAGAGGCAACGCACAGCCUCUUCACGCCUGUUAUUGUCCGAUGUAGAGAUUUGCGCUCGAGAAUAAAAUCAUUUUGCUUCAAAAGAACUAAAUAAAAUCACCUCUGGCUGUGUGUUUCCAUUUUUGCGGGGGUUUGAUGAAUAUGUAAUGCAUGUAUUUUCCCUGUGGGGGGGGUCCUCUGUCCAGUGAGCACAAUAACGCAUGUGAUGCACUUUCUCCUCACAUCAUGGGAGGCCUACACGCACUGGAGUGGCAAUGAUGCAUGCAUGGGUUUGAGGGCUAGGACACACACAUAACAACACGCAUACAGUACAAACAGAUAUUUACUCGCAACACAAAUGUGUUUAUGUAUGUGUUUGGAAAAGCAAAUGUGUGUGUGUGUGUGUGUGUGUGUGUGUGUGUGUGUGUGUGUGUGUGUGUGUGUGUGGUAACAGGUUCAUCAGUAUCCUUUUGGUGGUUGCUUCUUUAUGUUGCUGUCAUUAAUCUAAUAAUGAAAUCCUCUUUCUGGUGAUCCUGAAAACAAUUAAAUGCAAUGAAGUUGUUGGUGGUGGAAUGGAGACGCCGUAGGGGACGUCCUGUGGUGACAAUGCAGAAGCCAAGAAAGACAAGAUUUCGGAUGCAUGGUCCUCACUCCUCAAGGCUCCAUUUGUCUCCCUGCAACACAGAAGCUGUCCAUCCUCAUGGGACUAGGAUUUGUGCUGUGAAAUCAGCUCCAGAUACAAUAUACAUUACUUUACGUUUUCUUUUCUCCGGGUUCUACACAGGGUGGUCCAAUCUGUGCUGGUGUUGGGUUGUCUCCUAGUGUGAAAUAAUAAGUUAAAAAAUACUUACUUUUUAUUUUGCCUCUGAAAAUCAACCAGAUGAAGUAACUGUUGUGUUUGUCCCCUCCAGUGGUCAGAUGAAGUAACUGUUGUGUUUGUCCCCUCCAGUGGUCAGAUGAAGUAACUGUUGUGUUUGUCCCCUCCAGUGGUCAGAUAAAGUAACUGUUGUGUUUGUCCCCCCCAUGGUCAGAUAAAGUAACUGUUGUGUUUGUCCCCCCCAGUGGUCAGAUGAAGUAACUGUUGUGUUUGUCCCCUCCAGUGGUCAGAUAAAGUAACUGUUGUGUUUGUCCCCCCCAUGGUCAGAUAAAGUAACUGUUGUGUUUGUCCCCCCCAGUGGUCAGAUGAAGUAACUGUUGUGUUUGUCCCCUCCAGUGGUCAGAUAAAGUAACUGUUGUGUUUGUCCCCCCCAGUGGUCAGAUGAAGUAACUGUUGUGUUUGUCCCCUCCAGUGGUCAGAUAAAGUAACUGUUGUGUUUGUCCCCCCCAGUGGUCAGAUAAAGUAACUGUUGUGUUUGUCCCCCCCAUGGUCAGAUAAAGUAACUGUUGUGUUUGUCCCCCCCAGUGGUCAGAUGAAGUAACUGUUGUGUUUGUCCCCUCCAGUGGUCAGAUGAAGUAACUGUUGUGUUUGUCCCCCCAGUGGUCAGAUGAAGUAACUGUUGUGUUUGUCCCCUCCAGUGGUCAGAUGAAGUAACUGUUGUGUUUGUCCCCCCCAGUGGUCAGAUAAAGUAACUGUUGUGUUUGUCCCCCCCAGUGGUCAGAUAAAGUAACUGUUGUGUUUGUCCCCUCCAGUGGUCAGAUAAAGUAAUUCUUGUUUGUUCCCCCUCGUGGUCAGAUGAAGUAGAAGUCGGUCUCCCUC